rnacentral:rRNA from 1 species
CGGACGGGUGAGUAAUGUCUGGGAAACUGCCUGAUGGAGGGGGAUAACUACUGGAAACGGUAGCUAAUACCGCAUAACGUCGCAAGACCAAAGAGGGGGACCUUAGGGCCUCUUGCCAUCGGAUGUGCCCAGAUGGGAUUAGCUAGUAGGUGGAGUAACGGCUCACCUAGGCGACGAUCCCUAGCUGGUCUGAGAGGAUGACCAGCCACACUGGAACUGAGACACGGUCCAG